AUAAUGUUGUUGGGUCUGUAACCAUGAGGAGGGAUACUAUAUAAUGUUGUUGGGUCUGGAACCAUGAGGAGGGAUACUAUAUAAUGUUGUUGGGUCUGUAACCAUGAGGAUGGGAUACUAUAUAAUGUUGUUGGGUCUGUAACCAUAAGGAGGGAUACUAUAUAAUGUUGUUGGGUCUGUAACCAUGAGGAGGGGGAUACUAUAUAAUGUUGUUGGGUCUGUAACCAUGAGGAGGGAUACUAUAUAAUGUUGUUGGGUCUGUAACCAUGAGGAGGGAUACUAUAUAAUGUUGUUGGGUCUGUAACCAUGAGGAGGGAUACUAUAUAAUGUUGUUGGGUCUGUAACCAUGAAGAGGGGAUACUAUAUAAUGUUGUUGGGUCUGUAACCAUGAGGAGGGGAUACUAUAUAAUGUUGUUGGGUCUGUAACCAUGAGGAGGGAUACUAUAUAAUGUUGUUGGGUCUGUAACCAUGAGGAGGGAUACUAUAUAAUGUUGUUGGGUCUGUAACCAUGAGGAUGGGAUACUAUAUAAUGUUGUUGGGUCUGGAACCAUGAUGAGGGGAUACUAUAUACUGUUGUUGGGUCUGUAACCAUGAAGAGGGGAUACUAUAUAAUGUUGUUGGGUCUGUAACCAUGAGGAGGGAUACUAUAUAAU
rnacentral:lncRNA from 1 species